AGUGGAAUUGCUGGGUCAUAUGGAGAGUGUAUGUUUUACUUAUUAAGUAAGUGCCAAAAUGGUUUCCAUAAUUCCUGCAUCGUUUACAUUCCCACCAGCAAU
rnacentral:pre_miRNA from 1 species